rnacentral:misc_RNA from 1 species
CUUUGAAUAUAAAAAUGAAGUUUUGAUUGUUCAUUUAAAGGUGUAUUCGUGCAAAUAGUAUCACGAUUUCGAUAGGAUUCCAUAAGACAGGCCUGGUCGAAAUAUCGACCACUGGUUUGGUCGGGCGCUCGACUUAAAAAAAUGCAUCGAUAUUAUGCACAAAUUUUGUGUAAAAACGGUCGAUUUCAACGUGAAAAUACUCGUCCUUAAAAGGUUAAUAAUCUCACACGCCUCGAAGUUUUUAUAACACGGGAUCGCACAAAGCAUUCGACAGGAUGGAAGGAAAAUUUGUCCUCACCUCAUGUCGCGAGCAAAGUAAGUUUGGUGACUUUGCUGAGGACUCGUUAUGCGCUCGUUUGAAUGGAUUCAACCUACCGUCGAAAAAAGCAUCGAACCUCCUGAAUGGCGUUUACGUUGGAGGUCCGAGCGCCGUCGGGAAGAGCACAACGUUGAAUAAGAUACGCCAGAACUAUCCGUGGGCUCGCGUGUCGGAUAUAAGCUUCGAAACACUUCGCCGUCACCACGAUGACCCGGAAAUGGUGACAAAUUAUCUUCUCACGCGUCGUGACGCGCCUAUGAUUUAUGAGCACACCAAUGAAUGUACGAUUCUCUACAAGAUCGUAAAUCGCUUUAUGCAACGUGACUUGAACCGCGACAAUGUUCAAAAGUGUCAUCGCGAAUGCUACAACGCAUUGAACGAAGCCUCGAGCCACAUCAUGUUCAUCAUUCUUGACAGCACGAAAAACUUCAAGACACGCUACUACAAACGCCUUUGCAACGCUAGCAACACCAUCAAUCGGGACCACGACAAAUAUCUGAUUCUACAAUUGGCGGCAUUCCUCGCAUUACUUGGCAAACGACAUUUGUAUCCGUUCAUGAGCGUCGUGGUGAUACACGAAGCUGGACGUAUUUUAGGCGAGGAAGAUACUUACGGGCUCGAUACGCUAUUCGCAACUUAUCAUUCCGACAAUGAUUACGCUAUUGCAACGUUCGAUUGCGAUCGUUUGGUUGAAUUCAUAGUUGAUGCUCAUAUUUCCCAUGCAGAAGAUAUUCUCGAAUUGUCCUGAAAUUAAGUCCAACUCAAUCCACCUGAUUUUGUAAAGAGCAGUGGGAGUGGCUUCGCAUCGCACUCGCGUUAUAUCGGGCUUGCGCACAGUUCCCUUCCCCAUCUCUGCGCACCUGACCCAAGGUUGGAUUGGCCAACAUGCUUCCCCCACCGAGCGCAACCCGAUCGGUGUUCGGCGCAUUGUGGGAGAAACUUAUUCGGAGCUUACCAAUUAGAAUCACAGGAAACUGACCCCAUUGGGGACGUAGUUCGUGCACCGUUGCGGGGAUCGCUGCCGCGAAGCAAUUCUCGGGCGAAGUAAAAAAUUGAUUGCACAACCGCAUAGCCGUGAUCCGAACUUGCGCAUUAAUUGCUGGGCGGGGACAAGUAAUCACAGACUCUUGAAAAAUCUAGUUCUCUGCGCAGUCUCUUCAGGCGCUUGCGCUCGUGCAAUCGUGAAUCGGAAAAUACUGAUUGGCCAACACGAGGGAGAGGGGGUCUUGCAGAAACAGAAACAGUGAAGUGGGGGAAAAAGAGUUCGGAGUGAUUAGAAGGGUUCAUAAAACCUGCGUACGCGAAAACGUCGGGAAAAUGAAAAAUAAUCUAAUUUAUUUCUCACAUACUAUUCCCUUCUGCUUCAACUCCAUUUGAACGGUUUUUUCAGAGCAGAUUGGAAGCUACAAUCUCCGGUAAAAUCAAUGAAAAUUCAUAACUCGUGAAAUAUUAUUUAUCGUGAACCAGAUACUAGAACUACCAGGGAGUUCGUAAAUCCGAAGUUUAUGCGUGCAACUAUAUCGCUAAGCGCGACUAAUGCUACAGUGGCUCAAUGAGCUUAUGCUUUACACAUCAAAACACUGAACGGUUGAUAUAUAGUAGUGCAAUUAUUUCCAGUCAACGAAAUAUCGAGUCAUGCUUGCUAGCCUGAAGCAAAGUGUUGAAUUUUAAAAAGUAUUGCAGUGAAUGAAGAACGCGACGAAAAUCGAUGCCCCCUAAAGCAGGAUCUGUGCUACAAUUUGUGGGUAUAUUGGAAUCGAGUGGUACAUUUUCGCUACCUCAAAUCCAGCACCGGAGCUGACUCAACGGUGACACUGAUUCGCGAUAAAAUCCAAAAGAUUUCUGGGAUUUGUUUCCGUUCGUUUCUACCACCUGGCAGGACGUGCCAAGCCGAAGACAUGCCGAAUAUGAAAAAAAACGGUGAUGCUGAUGUUGCGACAAUCGAGCUCGAACCGAUAGCCGAAGAAGCUAACGCUGCUUCAGUGGCCUCUGUUGAAAAUGGAAAUACGGAUGAUACAUCGAACGAGGCCACAGAGUCUCCUGGCAAUGAGAAACCGUUAUUGUUGAGCCGUCGUAAAGCCAAGAUGAACCGCGUUUAUCGCCGCAGUCGGAGCCGCGGAUGCAGUCCAGCGCGUGUGACUUACCGCUCGAUACGAAACAAGAGUCCGAGUCGCUGCAUGCGCAAUAUGGCGGCGGUCGUUCAAACCGCUCUGACUGCGGAUGAUGCUGCUGCGAACUCUACGCAACCCCAUUCAUGUCCCAAUAACCGGAUAAAUUCCGGCACGAAUUCCACUCGACAUACCAAUCUUGAGGAGACGUCAGUCGUCGACAACGCUACGAAUGAAAACGGCGAUGGCGACGAUGCCAAAGAGAGAAACGAAAGGGAAGACCAGACAAAGUGUACUUGUCAUUGCAACGAGAACGUCGAAAGCACGAAAACAUCGAAAAAACGUCGCGUCACCGAAACGUUGUUCGGCGUAGCGAGCGGCGUGUGUCGUUUCGUUCGUUAUCCGCUGAUGGUUAGCACCAAUGCUGCGACUCUUUAUUUAGUCAUGAACUCUCUCGGCUUCAACGGGCUGGAAUACGCGUCGCGUGCUGUCUCAAUGCUUCAGCCGCUGGUUGGCCCACUGCUCUCGUCUAAUCACGUUGUCCAGGCGGUUACAAGUGUAGGCCAAAAUGUCGGUGGCUCGAUUCCCGCAGCACUGGCCUCAAGCCAAUACUUGGGUUCAGGAACGUUCAAAUAGAUACCGCAAUUGAUUAUUUUUUUUUUUUCACAAAUCGCAUCGAAAGAGUGUUAUGCCGUUGGUAAAGAGUACGAUGUAAAUAAUUCCCCUGCAAAGCUCCCAGUUAAUGGCACACGUAAUAUAGCAGAUGACAAUUUAGCGGAUUCAUCGAGAGAACUUUAUUUGUAAAAGCACGACCAUGCUACCAGUGAAGAAGGGUCAACGGCUUUACCUUCAAUCGCCGCCCCCGUACACUCCGUACGGAGGACCUGCGAGCGAAAAUCCUGGCGCCUGGUAUGCUGCAAGUUCAGCCCCGCAGAUAACUCCGAGCGUAGUUCCGGGCCCUCAAUAUCCGGGCAACCAAUACAUCGUGUAUUGUCAGCAUCCACCGGGUACCGCGUCCCCCUCGAAUUCAUCUGCAGUUGUACAUCAUUCGCCCCAGCAAUCUGCCGAGAAGGCAACGCCGAUAACAUCAACGAAUCAGCCGGAAGUCGAGCCAAGCAAGCUUCAAAAAGCGCUCAACAACGAUACUGCGAAGAAUGGCAAGAUUAACAAAUUGCCAGCCCUCUUCAAGGAGAAGAGGGACAAGAGAUCGAUCGAGGACACUGGCUCUUCCGGUAAAACCGAAUCUACACCGAAAUCAAACACGAGCGAAACUACAGUAAUAACUGUGCCCUCCAACACCGAGGGAACUGACAUCUAUCCGAUGAUUGAUAUCAAGGAGAUAGAAAAUAUCGUCGAAAAUGAUCCUGCAAUAGGCAAAGCUGAAAAGGGAGUUGUAAAGACGUUGGAAGCGGUCGCAGAUGUGCUGACAGCCGAUAUGGCUGAGGCGCCGAACGGAAGCGCCUGCAAAUAUAAAACUUUCAAGUGCAUCAGAUUCACUUUGAUCGGGCUGAAAUAUGUGGCGAUUUUAGCCGCCGCUUCAAGUAUAAUGUACGCGGCAAUACGUCCAUUGAUCGAGCCUGCAUCUGCUGACUCUGCCAAUAACGCGGGUGCCACUGAUCUCAUUCAUCAUUCGGCGGAAUUGUUGAUUUAAACGGGUGAUUAUUGAGGCGACAAUGCCAAGGAAAUAAAAAUCCCCGCGCAGUAUGAUUUUUUUUAA